rnacentral:rRNA from 1 species
GACGAACGCUGGCGGCGUGCCUAAUACAUGCAAGUAGAACGCUGAAGGAAGGAGCUUGCUCUUUCCGGAUGAGUUGCGAACGGGUGAGUAACGCGUAGGUAACCUGCCUGGUAGCGGGGGAUAACUAUUGGAAACGAUAGCUAAUACCGCAUAACAGUAGAUAUCGCAUGAUAGCUGCUUGAAAGGUGCAAUUGCACCACUACCAGAUGGACCUGCGUUGUAUUAGCUAGUUGGUGAGGUAACGGCUCACCAAGGCAACGAUACAUAGCCGACCUGAGAGGGUGAUCGGCCACACUGGGACUGAGACACGGCCCAGACUCCUACGGGAGGCAGCAGUAGGGAAUCUUCGGCAAUGGACGGAAGUCUGACCGAGCAACGCCGCGUGAGUGAAGAAGGUUUUCGGAUCGUAAAGCUCUGUUGUAAGAGAAGAACGAGUGUGAGAGUGGAAAGUUCACACUGUG